rnacentral:rRNA from 1 species
AUGCCCCGCACCCCGCAUCACACGGAUCGCAGCCGCGCUCCUAGUCCCAAACCGCACAGCUAUAAAGCCACCUCGCCCCACAUGACACAACCAUCAACAUUAGACCUAACUAUUUUCUCCCCCGCCCACCGCCGCCACCACUCUCGAGACCUAAUUAUCUUCUCCUCCAACCUCAACCACCAAUAUUCUCUAGAUCUAACCAUCUUCUCCUCCACCCUUCACCGCCACCACCACUCUUUAGACCUAACAAUCUUCUCCUCCACCCUUCGCCGCCACCACCACUCUUUAGACCAAACAAUCUUCUCCUCCACCGCAACCACGAACAUUCUCUAG